rnacentral:rRNA from 1 species
GAACGGGUGAGUAAUAUAUCGGAACGUGCCCUAGAGUGGGGGAUAACGUAGCGAAAGUUACGCUAAUACCGCAUACGAUCUACGGAUGAAAGUGGGGGAUCGCAAGACCUCAUGCUCGUGGAGCGGCGAUAUCUGAUUAGCUAGUUGGUGGGGUAAAAGCCUACCAAGGCGACGAUCAGUAGCUGGUCUGAGAGGACGACCAGCCACACUGGGACUGAGACACGGCCCAGACUCCUACGGGGGGCAGCAGUGGGGAAUUUUGGACAAUGGGCGCAAGCCUGAUCCAGCAAUGCCGCGUGUGUGAAGAAGGCCUUCGGGUUGUAAAGCUCUUUUGUCAGGGAAGAAACGGUGGUUUCUAAUACAGAUCACUAAUGACGGUACCUGAAGAAUAAGCACCGGCUAACUACGUGCCAGCAGCCGCGGUAAUACGUAGGGUGCAAGCGUUAAUCGGAAUUACUGGGCGUAAAGGGUGCGUAGGCGGUUUGGCAAGUCUUAUGUGAAAUCUUCGGGCUCAACCCGAAGCCUGCAUAAGAAACUGCCGGGCUUGAGUAUGGGAGAGGUGAGUGGAAUUUCCGGUGUAGGCGGUGAAAUGGCGUUAGAAUUAUCCGGGAAGGGAACACCCU